GGGAGGAUGGCUCAGUGCUCAGAGCUUGGAUCUCGUAACCGAAAAGUCGCGGGAUCGAAUCCCGCUAGAGGCU
rnacentral:tRNA from 1 species